rnacentral:rRNA from 1 species
UACGUAGGGUGCGAGCGUUGUCCGGAAUUAUUGGGCGUAAAGAGCUCGUAGGCGGUUUGUCGCGUCGACUGUGAAAACCUACAGCUUAACUGUGGGCUUGCAGUCGAUACGGGCAGACUUGAGUUCGGUAGGGGAGACUGGAAUUCCGUGUGUAGCGGUGAAAUGCGCAGAUAUCAGGAGGAACACCGGUGGCGAAGGCGGGUCUCUGGGCCGAUAUCGUCGCUGAGGAGCGAAAGCGUGGGGAGCGAACAGG